GAAGAAAGAGGGAUAGAGAGAGCGAGAGAGAGAGAGAGAGCGCGCGGGCACGGAUGAGAGAGAGAGAGUGUGAGUGAGAGAGAGAGAAGGAGAGAGGGAGAGAGAGAGAGAGAGAGAGGGAGACUAGCAAUAAGUGGAGUAGAGAAGAACAAAAACAACAGGCAAACGGAAAAUCUCAUGGUAUCAUGGAUUUGGUUAGAGUGGUAAUCGCGAAGAUUGCCCCAGCACUUUAACUUCUUCGCUAUACUAUAUAUAUACACAAACACGAAUACACAUAUACGCAUAUUGUAUAUAUGUAUAUAUAUAUAUAUAUAAAUUAUAUAUAGACUGAGAAAGAAAGAAAGAAAGAGAGAGUGUGUGACUGAGUGAUAGAUGUAGAUCAAAUACGUAUAUAUAUUAUAUACACACCUAUGUUGUAUAAUAUACCAUAGAGGUUCACACGUUCACAUUCUUUUUACAUAUCUACUAUACCCCUGUCUUCUCCCUCACUCUAUCCUUUGUGUGUUUAUAUAUAAAUAUAUAAAUAUAUAUAUAUAUUUAUAUAUAUACACACACACACACACACACACGUACAUAUUUAUAGAUAAGUAAAACUAUUUAUACCGUUUGUGAUAUGUGGAUGUAUGCCGAUAUAUAUACGUAAAUAUAUUUACGUAUAUAUAUAUAAAUAGACUAAUACACAGAUACACAUAUAUACACAUACACACACACGCACGUACACACGUACAGACACAUGCAACAACUCAAUCGUACAUACAUACACAUACACACACACACACCAUUUCACAACAUCAUACUAUAAACAGAUUUAGUACUGCAAUCCGAAAAGGAACAUAUUUACCAUCCAACGGAACCUGGUUCGGAGAGAUAUAUUCAAAACCACGCCAUGGUAUG
rnacentral:lncRNA from 1 species